rnacentral:lncRNA from 1 species
GAUUGGGGGGAUUUUUUAAAAAUAGAAACUUUCCAAAUUCUGUCUGACUUUCCAUCUUCUUUUUGGUUCGACGUUCCAUGUUAUUUGUAUACACGUUCUGAAUUCACGCAAAUCACGAUCCCAAUAGCAAACAAUACGAUUGAAUCUAUGAGUUGGGAACGCAAAUUAUAACUUUGAAAUCGUGAUCCGGGAUCGCGAACGUAUCGGAUUUGGGAUCGAUCGAACUGGAUCGGAGAUCGUGGGUGAUCUGGCGAAUUAUGUGACUAUGGGUCAAACAUUUAUAGAAGCAAACAACAUAAAGGCACCCAUUUGUCCAACAUAACUCUCUAGAUCAACCUGCUAAUUAUAUGGCUCAUCAUCCAAGCCUGGCAUUCCAGUAAAAAGCACGAUGCACACGAAAGCAACAAGGUCUAAAACCGAUGCCCAAAGUGUAAAAAGCGGCGGCUUUUUCCUACGCGCAAGAUGUGGGUAAGGCUCUUCUUACCUCUUAUUGUCUUUCAUUUUUGCGAGAUAUCACAAACACACACAAAAACCCUAGAACUCCUCCAUCUCCUCCACCACCUCUCCUCCACCCCAGCUCCGCCUCCCUCCUCCACGCCGCCGCUGCCACAUCCAUUCUCCCCCUGCUACCACAUCCUUCUCCCUCCUCCCCGACGCCGCUGCCACCUCCCUUCUCCCCGACAACGCUGCCACCUCCCUCCUCCCCGCCGCCACUGCCACCUCCCUCCUCCUUCCUCUUCACAG